AACCCUUGUCAUUAGUUGCUACAUUCAGUUGGGCACUCUAAUGAGACUGCCGGUGACAAGCCGGAGGAAGUGGGGAUGACGUCAAGUCCUCAUGGCCCUUAUAGGUGAGGCUACACACGUCAUACAAUGGCUGGUACAAAGGGUUGCCAACCCGCAGGGGGAGCCAAUCCCAUAAAGCCAGUCGUAGUCCGGAUCGUAGUCUGCAACUCGACUACGUGAAGUCGGAAUCGCUAGUAAUCGUGGAUCAGAAUGUCACGGUGAAUACGUUCCCGGGUCUU
rnacentral:rRNA from 1 species